rnacentral:rRNA from 1 species
CCUACGGGUGGCAGCAGUGGGGAAUAUUGCACAAUGGGCGCAAGCCUGAUGCAGCCAUGCCGCGUGUGUGAAGAAGGCCUUCGGGUUGUAAAGCACUUUCAGCGGGGAGGAAGGCGUUAAGGUUAGUAACCUUGGCGAUUGACGUUACCCGCAGAAGAAGCACCGGCUAACUCCGUGCCAGCAGCCGCGGUAAUACGGAGGGUGCAAGCGUUAAUCGGAAUUACUGGGCGUAAAGCGCACGCAGGCGGUCUGUCAAGUCGGAUGUGAAAUCCCCGGGCUCAACCUGGGAACUGCAUUCGAAACUGGCAGGCUAGAGUCUUGUAGAGGGGGGUAGAAUUCCAGGUGUAGCGGUGAAAUGCGUAGAGAUCUGGAGGAAUACCGGUGGCGAAGGCGGCCCCCUGGACAAAGACUGACGCUCAGGUGCGAAAGCGUGGGGAGCAAACAGGAUUAGAUACCCGGGUAGUC